rnacentral:rRNA from 1 species
CAGCAGCCGCGGGAAUACGAAGGGGGCUAGCGUUGUUCGGAAUUACUGGGCGUAAAGGGCGCGUAGGCGGCCAUUCAAGUUAGAUGUGAAAGCCCUGGGCUCAACCUAGGAAUUGCAUUUGAUACUGUUUGGCUUGAGUUCGGGAGAGGUGAGUGGAAUUCCCAGUGUAGAGGUGAAAUUCGUAGAUAUUGGGAAGAACACCAGUGGCGAAGGCGGCCCACUGGACCGACACUGACGCUGAGGCGCGAAAGCGUGGGGAGCAAACAGGAUUAGAUACCCCUGUAGUCCCUGUCUCUUAUAC